rnacentral:rRNA from 1 species
UAGGGAAUUUUGCGCAAUGGGGGAAACCCUGACGCAGCAACGCCGCGUGAUUGACGAAGCCCUUCGGGGUGUAAAGAUCUGUCAGUAGGGACGAAAGAUGACGGUACCUACAGAGGAAGCACCGGCUAACUCCGUGCCAGCAGCCGCGGUAAUACGGGGGGUGCAAGCGUUGUCCGGAAUCAUUGGGCGUAAAGAGUUCGUAGGCGGCAUAGUAAGUUUGGUGUUAAAGGCAGAGGCUCAACUUCUGUAGGGCACUGGAUACUGCUAAGCUAGAAUGCGGUAGAGGUAAAGGGAAUUCCUGGUGUAGCGGUGAAAUGCGUAGAUAUCAGGAGGAACAUCGGAGGCGUAAGCGCUUUACUGGGCCGAAAUUGACGCUGAGGAACGAAAGCCAGGGUAGCAAAUGGG